UACGUAGGGGGCAAGCGUUGUCCGGAUUUAUUGGGCGUAAAGAGCGUGUAGGCGGCCACACAGGUCUGCUGUGAAAACUCGAGGCUCAACCUCGAGCUGUCGGUGGAAACCGUGUGGCUAGAGUCCGGAAGAGGAGAGUGGAAUUCCCGGUGUAGCGGUGAAAUGCGCAGAUAUCAGGAAGAACACCCGUGGCGAAGGCGGCUCUCUGGACCACAACUGACGCUGAGGCGCGAAAGCUAGGGGAGCAAACAGG
rnacentral:rRNA from 1 species